rnacentral:lncRNA from 1 species
UCCGAAGUCCAUCGUACGUCCACAUGCCAAGUCCGAUCCUAGUUUUGUUCAUUACCUAAGAAGUUUGAGGAAAUACGGUGAGCUAACUAGCUCAGUGUAAGUCUAUACAACAUGGCAUUUAGUACACAUUUAAUAAUAACAUUUACACCAAGAACCAUAUAUCACAAUCAAGCAACAAUAAUAACAUUUUAAUGAGUCGUGAUCCAGUCAUAAUGCAAAAAUGAAUUUCCUACCCAAACUAUCUGCUACACACCACGAGUUCCCAGAACCCAUCUACCAAACUCCAACGAAUGCGAGCAAAGCUCAAUAUGGUAAAAUCACUGAAUGAAUAUAAUUGCAGAAAAUCUGUCAUUUAACCAAUAAAUGUGAUAAAAUCACCAAAUCUCCUCAAAUCUCCGAUACAGUGCACUGACUACGAAUAAAUGCAGACUUAAUAUGCCGCCAAAUCUCCACAGAAAUCCUCCGUCAACCUCAAUAAAAAUUUCACCCCAAUGCACAUGGAAGAUGUCAUACGAUCUCAUUUAUAGUCAUGAAUUCAAUACUUUCACAUUUCUUUGGCAUGAUCAACAUGCCCUCAUAUUAUCUAAUACUUUCAGUAAAUAGGGUCAUUUAUCCAACUUUCAAUUCACCAUUAAGAUGGUGUCAUUCAAUGUGUCACAAUCUCAUAUAACUUACCAUUAUUUUUCGAGUGCAUGUAUAGCGGUAUUUCAAGUAUUUCAUAGCAAAAUCAUUCAUACAAAUAUAUCAUGCGUAAACCACAUUCUCAUUCAGAAUCAUGCUACACAUACAAUCAACAUACAUCAUAUCAACUAAUCAUUCACAACAAUAUCAAUCACACAAUUAUUUUGUCAUUCUCACAUUUUUACUAACAUGCCAAACAAUUAGAGCUCGAAACGUACAUGGUUCGACCAUUUUCAAAUUAAUUACUUAGCCACUUAUCCAAGCCUGACCAACAAGCUUAGUCAUCCCUUAUAUCAUUCGAAAAUAAUAUUAAAACAUUCAAGUCAACGAUUUAGAACCCACACCUUAAUUACGCUCUACUGUAGCACACUUGCGAAUCUCGCAAUUUAUCUAAUAAACUUUAAAACAAACAUAAAUUAAAAAUCAUUAUUAACUCAAUUAAUAUACCUCUUGAAAGAACCUCAAACACCCACUUAUGGGUUCAAUCCAAUCAUCACAAUUAUAACAAUUUUUUAGAUCCAAACUAGUUAGGUUUCUUACAUUGAUUUGAUGCAAAUCGUACGCGCGAACGUUUAAUGGCUUCACCGUUGAUUUGAGGCGUUUAAGUCGUCACCUAAAACAUUUAAAUACUAAAAAAUUAGUAGCUAAUCCAUGAAUAAAAUCUUUAAUUUGAUCAAUUAACAAUUUCCCCAACAUCUAAACCGAAACUACACACUAGUCCAUAAUCAACCACACUUACGCUUCUCGAGUUGUCAUAUUUAAGUCACCGAUUGAUCAAGAUUGAUUUUUUUCCUAAUUGCACAUGGUUAAAGACUGAUUAGGAAGGGUUUAAGAAUCCAAGAUGUUGCUAGAAAUAAAAAAAGAAGAAGAAAGAAACAACAACCCCUUUUCUGGAGCCCUUAAGUGCGCGCACCACCACCAACGGUGGCCAAUUUGGGGCUGAUUUAAAAGCACAUUUAAAAAAAUCUUGGAAGGUUGGAAAAAUACCCUUUAAAUCUUUAAAAAUCGUCCAAAUUCCAGAUAUGGGAGUUUGAGCAUUUUACUUACAAGAUUCAUCAAGAAAUUGAAAAAAAAAACUUACACAAGUUAAGUGAAAGGGGCGGCAAUGGAUGUUUUUGGCAACAAUGAGAAUCGUUCUUAGAGGUCCAAAGUUUUAGAUUUGAGGCUGGAAAUUUAAGGAGAGUAUGGUGCAAGAUCUUGUGGAAAAAGAAAAGAAAAAGAGAUGGUGGUGUAAAGGUUUAGGCGACGGCAACAAGGAAGAAAGAAAGAAGAAAAUUAAAAAGAGAGAAGAAGAGGAGAAGGGAG